rnacentral:lncRNA from 1 species
GGCCCGCAAGAUGCGGACGCUGAAAGGCUCAGAGACAGACUGGAGAAAACUCAACAAGCACGAGAAAAGGUUGAGGUGGAACUAGGAAAGAUGUCACGUGAACUUGAGCGACUGCAGUUAGAAAACGAGCACCUGAAAUCCGAGCGGAAUAGGGUGGGAGACGCAGAACUGGAGCGGGUUAGAGAGCGACUGAACCAAACGAAUCAAGUUAGAGAGAAACUUGAGCUGGAGGUCGGUCGUCUUACCCGGGAGUUGGAAAAAUCGCAGCAGCAUCUUGGAAAUACCAGGAGACAAAUGAAGCAACGCAGAUAGAAUUCGAAAGAAUGUCGACUGAAAUAACUCGGAUGCAUGAAAAGCUUGAAAAGACUCAGUCCGAGCUGAGGAAGAUCUCUGACGAAAAAGUCCGCCUGGAGAAUGAACUCUAUCAAACUAAACGAGCCUUAGAACAAGUACAAACAUCGCAGCAUAGCGGUGAUCAUCGACUGAAAGAAGAGUUCAUGAAAUUGCAACAGGAAUACGCACAAGCUUGCCGUGACAGAGAUAGGAUGGCUGGCGUUUCAGAAAAACGCGGACAGCAGUUAGAGAAGAUCGAAACCAAAUGACUAAAAUGGAAGAUGAGUGGAAACAACUAGUUCUAGAGAGAGACCAGCUAGUUUUGCAGCUGGAAAAAUCCCAAGAAAUGCUGAUGACAUUCCAACAAGAGCUGCAGCAGUCAGAGGCUGAACUCGGCCGGGAGCGAGAUGAAAUCAAGCGACUCAAGACUGACCAAAGUAGAAAUAAGGACAGCAGUAAAGCAGCUUCCGACCAAGAGCUGAUGAAACUGCAACAAAUACUGCAAGCUAAGGACCAGGAUAUCCAGAACCUGCAUCAGCACUUGCAAGCGAAGGACCGCGAGCUGGCUAAACUCCAACAGCAGCUGCAACAGCUGUCACAGAAUGUGAAUCGCGAGCGGCAACAGAUCAUGGAACAGGAGCUUGAAAAAUGGCAACAGAUAGUGGAGGUUGAACGACAGAAGUCAGCAGAGUUACAAAAACAGGUCCAGAUGCUAUCGCAGCAGUCGAGUCAAGGCAAUGAGAUGAUAAAGAAAGUACAAAUGCUCGAGAAGCAACUCCAAGCGGCACAAAAAGAGACCGCGGAGACAAAAGAUAAUUACGCUAAGCGCGUACAAGCAUUGGAGAAACAGUUGCAGACGCAACAGGCUGGAGCUUCUGGCGACGUUCAGAAGUUGCUCAAAGAAUUGGAAAAAGCACACGCGGAACUGAAGAACUUCAGUGUGGAGAAAGAUCGGCUCCAGUCGCAAUUAGAAAUGCUUGUUCAGGAGCUCGAGAGAAACCAGCUGGAACUUCACGAAGCCAAUCAGAGGAUCGCAGCUGGCGCAGCGAAAGCUGGCGAAGAGACUUCCGCUCUCAAGACACAACUUGAUGAGCAGAAGAAGCAACUAGAGAAUCAACGUAGAAAAUUAGAUGAACAUAGAAAAGGAAUAGACACAAGGGCCAAGCAGUUAGAGGAUAAGGAAAAACACUAG